AGUGAACGCUGGCGGUAGGCCUAACACAUGCAAGUCGAACGGCAGCACAGUAAGAGCUUGCCCUUACGGGUGGCGAGUGGCGGACGGGUGAGGAAUACAUCGGAAUCUACUUUUUCGUGGGGGAUAACGUAGGGAAACUUACGCUAAUACCGCAUACGACCUACGGGUGAAAGCAGGGGUUCUUCGGACCUUGCGCGAUUGAAUGAGCCGAUGUCGGAUUAGCUAGUUGGCGGGGUAAAGGCCCACCAAGGCGACGAUCCGUAGCUGGUCUGAGAGGAUGAUCAGCCACACUGGAACUGAGACACGGUCCAGACUCCUACGGGAGGCAGCAGUGGGGAAUAUUGGACAAUGGGCGCAAGCCUGAUCCAGCCCUACCGCGUGGGUGAAGAAGGCCUUCGGGUUGUAAAGCCCUUUUGUUGGGAAAGAAAAGCAGCAGGUUAAUACCCCGCUGUUCUGACGGUACCCAAAGAAUAAGCACCGGCUAACUUCGUG
rnacentral:rRNA from 1 species